rnacentral:rRNA from 1 species
GGAUCAUUAUNGUACAACUGAGGCACAAGGGCUGUCGCUGACGUUUUCGUCGUGCACGCCCGAGUGCUCUCAAACAUCCAUCUCACCCCUAUGUGCACCACCGCGUGGGUCCCCUUUCGGCUCGUCCAGAGGGGGGCUCGCGUUUUCACACAAACUCGAUACAGUGUAGAAUGUCCUCCUUUGCGAUCACACGCAAUUAAUACAACUUUCAACAACGGAUCUCUUGGCUCUCGCAUCGAUGAAGAACGCAGCGAAAUGCGAUACGUAAUGUGAAUUGCAGAAUUCAGUGAAUCAUCGAAUCUUUGAACGCACCUUGCGCCCCUUGGCAUUCCGAGGGGCACACCCGUUUGAGUGUCGUGAAAUUCUCAAAACCUUUUCUUUUGAAAAGGAUUUUGGACUUGGAGGCUUUUUGCUGGUUUCCCAUCGAAGCCAGCUCCUCCUAAAUGGAUUAGUGGGGUCUGCUUUGCCGAUCCUCGACGUGAUAAGAUGUUUCUACGUCUUGGGUUUGGCACCGCACCUGCUUCUAACCGUCUCAUCGACAAUGAUGGCGUUCCGGUCACCACCGUUUCAUCGGUGGGAGGCU